AAAUUCUAACUAUAUUCUAUUUUAAUUUUAAUUGAAAUCCUAAUAGAUCUUAAUUAAAUCCUAGGUCAAAUCUUAAUUAAAUCCUAAACCUUGAACCAAAUCUUAAAUAAAUCUUAAAUCCUAAAUCUUAAACAAAAUCUUUGACAAAUCCUAAAUCCAAAAUCCUAAAUAAAUCCUAAGUUUUAAAAAAAUCCUAAAUCCUAAAUCAAAUCCUAAACAAAUCCUAAGCCCUAAAUAAAUUCUAAAUCCUAAAUCAAAUCCUAACUAAAAUCUAAUCAAUUCAAAUCAAUCCUAAGAUAGAUUAGAAUUCCAAUAUCUAUUAUUUAAAUCAUUGAUCUUACUUAAAAAAUUAUACACCUUUCAACUUCUUA
rnacentral:lncRNA from 1 species